UGAACGCUGGCGGCGUGCCUCAUACAUGCACGUCGAGCGAACAGACGAGGAGCUUGCUCCUCUGACGUUAGCGGCGGACGGGUGAGUAACACGUGGAUAACCUACCUAUAAGACUGGGAUAACUUCGGGAAACCGGAGCUAAUACCGGAUAAUAUAUUGAACCGCAUGGUUCAAUAGUGAAAGACGGUUUUGCUGUCACUUAUAGAUGGAUCCGCGCCGCAUUAGCUAGUUGGUAAGGUAACGGCUUACCAAGGCAACGAUGCGUAGCCGACCUGAGAGGGUGAUCGGCCACACUGGAACUGAGACACGGUCCAGACUCCUACGGGAGGCAGCAGUAGGGAAUCUUCCGCAAUGGGCGAAAGCCUGACGGAGCAACGCCGCGUGAGUGAUGAAGGUCUUCGGAUCGUAAAACUCUGUUAUUAGGGAAGAACAAAUGUGUAAGUAACUAUGCACGUCUUGACGGUACCUAAUCAGAAAGCCACGGCUAACUACGUG
rnacentral:rRNA from 1 species